ensembl:lincRNA
GGUAUCUGCGUCAGCAUGCGUAGGCUGCAAAGGAACAAGUAAUACUGUAGGUUUAUUGCAUGCUGAAAAGAGAAGAAAGAAAACACAACGUUUUGGACGUGGAGCCUUCUUCAGGUGUCAUAUAAGAUAUAAGAACAUGCUAUGAUCAUUUUCGCAUUUGAACGUGAUCUAGACUUUAACUCCCCGGCAACUUUUACGCCACGCCUGUUUUUACACAAUGGCUGGUGUUGAUGUUUCCAUGGUAAGCAAUGACGCUUUCCCUCGUACCGGAGCUCAUGUUCAUGUCUGCGUCAGGACUGCUGAGCCGGAGGUGCUGUUAAAAAUUGACAAACGCGUGUUGGUUUUCAGUUCCUCAUCAAAUUAUUUUGUUGCUCAUCUCGCUCAUCUCGCGAAAUGUAACUAUUUUCUCUGUAACCUGGGCCACAACACUGCUAUGUAAUGUAGGCGACCAACGAUCAAAUCAGAACAGCAAGAAAAGCCUUCUGUUUACCAAAGAAACGGGGACUUGCAGAAAUUCUCUUGGGGCUAAAAAAUGACAAGCAGAUUGCUAGCAUCUUUUAAUGUCCUGGACAGCUGCUCUGAGAAGAUCUUGAAAAAGCAUGCUAGGAGCCGACAAUUGGGUGAUACUCCAAGAAAAAGAUUUACUGAUUGUCUUGAAACCUCAUAUUUGCCAUUAAGCAGUGAAAGUGAGUGGGUCUAUGACCUGCCUAGCACAAGAAGAACUGAAAUCUCGAAACCUAAAUCAACUAAAGAAAUUAUAAAUGAGGAACAAAGACUCAUUCAUAAGAAAAUAAGCUCAGCAAGAACUAUUAGACCUGUUUCUGCCCUUAAAAGGGCACCCAGGCUAGAGCACAGCGGCAAACCCCACAUCAGACCAUUCACCUGCCCUGAGGACCUCGCCUGGAGAGCAGCAUACUGGAAAAGCAAAGAGAAGAAUACCGAAGAAGGAUUCAUGAUUAUUACAAUUAAAACAUCACAGUCCUUAAAAUCAGGAAAGAACACAGCACGGAGAAUCAAAUGGUCAAGAGAGGUAGAAAAAGUCCCAUGUUUAGAUGCAUUAAGUAAGCAGAGCAGCCAGGCACUGGUUGGGGGAACUCUUGGCUACACUGACACAUCACACUGGUAUUCCUUCUCUGCAAACACUAGCCGUGCUGAAGAGACACCUAUUAGCGUUUUUACUGGAGAAGAUGAAAGUCAAUACAGUAUUCCUGGGUCAGUUGGAAAAUUGGUUGCACAACAAUUACAGUAUGGAAAUGUUGUCCGCGUUGGCAUGAAUGGAGCAUAUAGAAGAAUCAGAGAAAAUUCAGAAAAGGACACUGAAAGAGAAGAACGUGUUCAAAGUGUGAAACAUUCAGCUGCUGAAGUCACAUCUGAAGUAGUCCCUCUUAGCAUGAAAGAUGAACUGGAAAAAAAGACUGCUAGAAUACUUUCACCAAAAUCCCAGGAUAUAUACUUGCCUCUUCCAAUUGUUAGUAAGACAUAUCCUGUGGUGUAUCAUCAUGAUUAUCAACAUAAACCAUUCUGCAGCCAAGGCUUGCACGCUUUUGAGGAUAAAGAGUCUUUGCAUCAAAGGGCAGAAGGAAGGAAAAAUGAUAAAAAUGAAGUCUAUUCUGCUAUAGUCCGCAUAACCCAGUCGAUGCAGGAAGACCACAUUAUUGGCAAGGCAUCACAACGAGAAAGAAUGGAAAAGCUUUUUCCUUUGAGACCAGAAACAAACCUGAAAAGGAACAAAUCUGGGAAGAAUAAUGCGAAUGUUCAAGUGUUAGCAAAUGAUGGAAAAAACAAAACAUGUCUGGACUUUAAAAAUGUCCCUCAAGGGAUUACUACUCAUAAUAUCUCAGCCUUAUCGCCACGUAUUGCUUUGAAUAAAGCACCCCAAGGUCUUAUCAGUGCAUCAAAGUUUAAGAACUCCUCUAAUGCUAGUGUAGGUCCAAUACAGAAUGGAGUAAAUCCAAAACAGCCUCUUGAAUUUAAUGACUUGUCCACAGACUUUUUAAAAGGGGUGGAAAUGAUGGUAAAAACAAAUUCAACCAGUGGUGGAAACCAGACAGCUUCAGUUUUACAAAAAAACAUAAGUGCAUACCAGGAGAGCAAGAACUACAUAAACUUUACAAAGCCACUCAGAUAUAACAAGAAUGAAACCAUUCUUACCAAUCAGCUUUCUCUUAUGGAAAUGUGCCAAUCAGCACAUACUUUACUACCAGAGACCUUUAUUAUGUCAGAAAGCACGGGUGCAUAUGAGAUUAAUUUUCUUCAGUCAAGGCCAAACAGCAGCACAGAGUACACAGGGAAAUUCCAAGAGCAGUGUCCUGCAAGAAAAGGAUCACCAGAAGGCAACGUUUCCCCAAUACCUUCGAAGACAGAUGUAACAGAGAUCUGCACAGAGGUCACUAACAGCAUUGGGAGGCCCAGUUCAGAUCCUCAGGAUGAAAACAAACCAGAUCAAGUUCCUGAAGAAGAAAUUAAGCCUCAUACGAAGCUUCCAUCUUCCGUUGACUCACACCAAGUUAUCAGCAUUCCUACUGCAGAAUGUGACAUUCAGAGUGUGUCAGAAUGAAUCUCUGAAGCUGAUGAACUGCGAAAAUCUGAGGACACUUGAAAUACAUUAUUAUGGUUAACUUUACAAACCCUGCAACACAGCCCUUGGCUCACUCACAAGUAAAGACAUAAUUUAACAUUCUAUGUGUGAGGGCUUUUUAUUUGUUGUUUUAAAGCAAAAUAUAAGCACAACACUGUGCAGGAUGGAUUGUGUGUAUCAAUUAAAUUUAAUUUAAACUACAAGCUGUGAACUUUUA